AGUGAGAUGUCUGAGCGGCUUAAAGAACAUAUUUGUAAAAAUAUGUGUAUAAAAAUAUAUUUUUAUACUCGAGGGUUCAAAUCCCUCUCUCACUA
rnacentral:tRNA from 1 species